GACGAACGCUGGCGGCGUGCCUAAUACAUGCAAGUAGAACGCACAGUUUAUACCGUAGCUUGCUACACCAUAGACUGUGAGUUGCGAACGGGUGAGUAACGCGUAGGUAACCUGCCUGGUAGCGGGGGAUAACUAUUGGAGACGAUAGCUAAUACCGCAUAAUAUUAAUUAUUGCAUGAUAAUUAAUUGAAAGGUGCAAUUGCACCACUACCAGAUGGACCUGCGUUGUAUUAGCUAGUAGGUGAGGUAACGGCUCACCUAGGCGACGAUACAUAGCCGACCUGAGAGGGUGAUCGGCCACACUGGGACGGAGACACGGCCCAGACUCCUACGGGAGGCAGCAGUAGGGAAUCUUCGGCAAUGGACGAAAGUCUGACCGAGCAACGCCGCGUGAGUGAAGAAGGUUUUCGGAUCGUAAAGCUCUGUUGUAAGAGAAGAACGGGUGUGAGAGUGGAAAGUUCACACUGUGACGGUAUCUUACCAGAAAGGGACGGCUAACUACGUG
rnacentral:rRNA from 1 species